GCUCGAAUAUUCGUUUAAAACACGGCAGCUCCACCGUCUACGGCAGCGGCCGGUGGCAAACAACUUUCAAAUUAACACCAAUGAACCUCCUCACCCUCCUUACCCUAACCAUGCCACUGAUUAUUCUCGAACACGUCUGAAACUCAUCAAAUAUAUGCCUGAAGAUGGCAGCUCCGCCAUGCACGGCGGUGCUGCCGUCCAACACCCUUCAAACACCAUACCCACCCUCCUCUAGCCCUUAUCCACCCAAAAUCCCACCUAAACCCACUCAAAUAGUCCAAGAACUUCCCCAGUGUCGCCACCAACCAGUUGAGGUUUAAGUCAAAGAUUGGAGAUCACUCGAGGAUUUGAGUUCACUCCGGCAGUGAUAGACUGAAGAAAUAUGAUAAGUCCAUCUUCCUCUUUUUAAUUUUAGUUUUAUUUUUCUUAUGCUUAUGAUUUUUUUGCCUGUUCUGAGCAAAUUAGGGCUGUUAGUGCAAAUUUUAAUUGUUUUUAGCAAAAUCUCAAAUUUGUUAAGCUGAUUAUAUGUUAGUUUCAUUUAUGAUUGUGCUCAGUAGUUAGUUUUGGCAUUCCUGUUGUUCUUUCCUAUGAAAAAAGAACUAAAUUCAUGUCUUUUGCUUGCACAAUCAGAAUGUUCAAAUCCGUUAAGCAAUCCAGGUGUCUUGUUUAAACUAUUUUCCCAAUUCAUGGAUGAUGUUAGAGUAAUAGAGUUGGUUUGGGUUCAAUAGGGUCCGAUGGGCUCAAUUUCUUGCCUCUCUCGCUUUCUUUUAUAGUUGUUGGCCCAGGCAGCAUCACUCAUCUGAGAUUCAACACCCAGAUAAUUAGCGAUUGAGAAAUUGUUAAUUGGGAUGUAGUCCUGGACCCAACCCAUGAGCCCUGUAAGGUUCCGGGGUAAAUAAUAGGGCUAUUGAGGGUAACUUGAGUAGUGUAAGUAUUUUAGUAAUGGAAUAGAAGUAUCCAGAAUUUUCUAGUGUGAGGGUUCAAAUGAGGUUAUCAGGUUUUUGGGUAGUAAAACUUGGUCCACAAGUUAAAAAUAAAAGGACCAAACUGCAAAAAAUAAGCAUAAAGGUUGCCCUACUUGCCUUGAUUAUAAGAGGACCUAUUCUUGCCUUUCAAGGCAAGGCUAGAGGUUAGGAUUCACAGGAUACACAGACAAUCAAAUCUUACAUUGUUCCAUUGAUUUAUUUCUUUAAAAAACUUCCCAUUAUGAUAGAGGUUUAAGCAUCGGUACAAAGUUGAGUCCAAGGAUUUGUUUGGCACCAUUGAGGUGUUUGUUCAUUGAUUGUGUCGUUUACUGGGUUCAUCCUUGCCUAUUUUGUGUUCUGCUGGGUUUAAAUGGCUUUACUGUGGUUCUAUUGUUCGCCAUCUACUGCUGUUGACCUCACUUUUCCUUCAUAUUCGCAAUUUCCAGGUACACUCACUAAGCCUGAUGCAAUGUAGAAAUCUUGUUGAAAUUCGAGAUGAAGUCAACUGCAAAGUUUUGCUAUAAAUUUGUUGUUCACUGUUCUUACAUUUUGAGUAGAUUCCUUGAUUUUGUUAAAUUUUUGAAUGUCAAUAAAUCUGGACUGUAUGAGACUGUAAAAGACCAUUGAAUUGUGUUCGGUAGUAUUAGAUUUGAGUUAGUAUAUUGUGCAUUACUAUGCUAGUCAUGUGUUAAUUCAUAGUCAGGA
rnacentral:lncRNA from 1 species